ACUCCUACGGAAGGCAGCAGUGGGGAAUAUUGGACAAUGGGCGAAAGCCUGAUCCAGCCAUGCCGCGUGAGUGAUGAAGGCCUUCGGGUCGUAAAGCUCUGUGGGGAGGGACGAAAAAGCGUGACCUAAUACGUCUCGCCUUGACGGUACCUCCUUAGCAAGCACCGGCUAACUCCGUGCCAGCAGCCGCGGUAAU
rnacentral:rRNA from 1 species